rnacentral:lncRNA from 10 species
UCAGGUCCACUUGAUCCAGGGCUGAGUUUAAGACCUGAAUAUCUUUGUUAAUUUUCUAUCUCAAUAAUUUGUCUAAUGUUGAUAAUGGGGUGUUAAAGUCUCCCACUAUUAUCAUGUGGGAGUGUAAGUCUCUUUGUAUGUCUCUAAUAAUUUGUUUUAUGAAUCUAGGGUCUCCUUUAUUGGGUGCAUAUGUAUUUAAAAUAGCUCUUCCUGUUGAAUUGAACCCUUUACCAUUAUGUAAUGCCCUUCUUUGUCUUUUUCAAUCUUUGUCGGUUUAAAAUCUGUUUUGUCAGAAACUAAGAUUGCAAUCCUUGCUUUUAUCUGCUUUCCAUUUGGUUGGUAAAUUAUCCUCUAUCCCUUUAUUUUGAGCCUAUGUGUGUCUUUGCGAAGGGCCAAAAAUGCUCUUGGUCUUGGGAAGAUGUUUAGUAUUUAGGGAAGAAAGAGGACCUAGCAAACUGAAUGUAUCCUUACUUGGUUUCUUUCUGGCCAGGCCUUAUUUCUUUCAAGCCAGGAGCCCAGCUGUCCUUGCUGUUUUGUAGAGACUAUGUUAGUAUCUUUGGUGAUGAGCUCAUUGAUUUGUUAAAUAUGAUGCAGUUAGUUACAUUUAAAUGUACCCUAAAUUGCUACCUCUCCCUGUUGUGAAUACUGACUUUGUGAGAGCAGAAUGGUAUUCCUUUAAAUAAUGCUAUACUCUGUUCUCAUCAUCCAGAUGACUUGAUCGCACAGGUCCAGAGAGAUACAGAUAGAACCUGAAAAACACUGUACCUAGCUUGCCUGUAGUAGCUGUAUGCUGGUCAAAUCAC